CCUACGGGUGGCAGCAGUGGGGGAUAUUGCACAAUGGGGGGAACCCUGAUGCAGCGACGCCGCGUGGGUGAAGGAGUAUUUCGGUAUGUAAAGCCCUAUCGGCAGGGAAGAAAUUGGACGGUACCUGACUAAGAAGCCCCGGCUAACUACGUGCCAGCAGCCGCGGUAAUACGUAGGGGGCAAGCGUUAUCCGGAUUCACUGGGUGUAAAGGGAGCGUAGACGGCCAUGCAAGCCAGGGGUGAAAGCCCGGGGCCCAACCCCGGGACUGCCCUUGGAACUGCAUGGCUGGAGUGCGGGAGGGGCAGGCGGAAUUCCUGGUGUAGCGGGGAAAUGUGUAGAUAUCAGGAGGAACACCGGCGGCGAAGGCGGCCUGCUGGACCGCGACUGACGUUGAGGCUCGAAAGCGUGGGGAGCGAACAGGAUUAGAUACCCGGGUAGUC
rnacentral:rRNA from 1 species